GCCAUUUUGUGGACGUCGGGGGAGUACCUCAACAGCUGCGCGGGGACGGAGCCGGGAGGAGCGGGAAAAACCCAGUCGAGCGGUGGGAGUCGGAUCCCCGCCUGCUAAGCCACAGCAACCGAGAUGCAUCGUGACUCUUGUCCACUGGAUUGUAAGGUUUAUGUAGGUAACCUUGGUAACAAUGGCAACAAGACUGAAUUGGAGCGAGCUUUUGGAUAUUAUGGACCACUCCGAAGUGUGUGGGUUGCAAGAAAUCCUCCCGGCUUUGCUUUUGUUGAAUUUGAAGAUCCCAGAGAUGCAGCUGAUGCUGUUAGAGAGCUAGAUGGAAGAACACUUUGUGGCUGCCGGGUAAGGGUGGAACUAUCGAAUGGUGAGAAAAGAAGUCGCAAUCGUGGUCCACCACCUUCUUGGGGCCGUCGCCCAAGGGAUGAUUAUCGGAGAAGAAGUCCUCCACCCCGACGCAGAGUCACCAUCAUGUCUCUUCUCACCACCCUCUGAGUCUGCAUUAGCCAGUCAACUAGCCCUUUCAGCGUCAUGUGACCAGCGCGCCCCAUUCAGCUUGGCUGGUGUCGUUUCACAUGACCCAGGCAUGGCCAGUCGUCAGGUUGCACCGCCCUUUGGUUCCCGAGCAUGCUGUUUUCUCUCAGCCUUCUCUCCAACCUUAACCAAAUCGGCAGCAGCCACCUCGACCGCCCACACAUUCCUGGCCAAUCAGCUCAGCUGUUUAUUUACCAAAUGUCUUCACAACAACUACAGCAGCAGCCUUCGGCUAACAAAAAAGCAGGAAAAAUCCACAACACCCCCUUCGCCAACCAACUAAAUACAACGCAACAUCUGGCAAAACCUUUUCAGCAAAUUCUUCCUGGCCGUCAGUCCGGCAGCCUCACCUCACCAUUUCUAGCUUGUUGAAACCCAAAACUAAUCACCACGAAGAAGAAGCUUUUCUCGCAGUCGGAGCAGGUCCCUUUCAAGAGAUAGAAGAAGGGAGAGAUCGUUGUCACGGGAGAGAAAUCAUAAGCCUUCUCGUUCCUUUUCCAGGUCUCGUAGUCGCUCUAGGUCAAAUGAAAGGAAGUAGAACAUCGGCCUUCAAGAGGAGUGAUGUACAGGAAGUAGCUCUUCAUUUGACAGGAGCAUGUACAGAACAUUACAAGUUUUGUUUGAGCCUUCAUAAGCUCAGUGCAUUUUUAAAAUGUUUUAGCUGUUAAAAUUUGUUUGUCUUGUAACGGUGACACAUGUAAAGAUGUGUAUCUGUAUGGUUUGAAACAGAUCAUAUAAGGCAUGUAAUACCAAGAAUUUGUUACUUUACAAUGUUCCCUUAAACAAAAUUUUAAUUUCUAUUGAUUACUAUCAGUUUAUUUUGCAACAAAUUGCAAAUAAACCUGUAAAACCUGCAGUGGCCAAAAAUGACAUCUUGACUAUGUCUGGGGGUUGGGGGGGGCGGUCAGGGAAUGAGAGUCACAACGUUGGAGAGAGCCUUGGUUUUUGUGCACAGCAGUUAUAUUUACUGCUGCAGUUAAACAGAAUACAUGCAGUGUUCCAAAGCUCUAUUUAGAACAGGCCAGCAGGUAAAUUGGGAAGUUAAAAGCAUACCAAAAUAAGACAUUUGGUCACAAGGUGUGGUGGCAGUUUUAGAAAGGAAAACCCCCUUUUUUUUUCUUUCUAAGUGGACACACAUAUAAAAAAACCUAAGAGGUUUCAAGGAAGUUUAGUUUUUCCACUAAAGAUCAUGGAUUCUUUUUGUAGUUGAUACACUGAGAGUAACUGGUAAUACUCAAAAUUAACCAUUCACACAAACUGAGUUUAAGGGUACACUGUAGAGACUUUUUGAGUUACUGUGCAAGAUUUUUUUUCAUGAUGUCAUUUGUAACAUGUUUUGUGAGACCUUCGGGAUUAAAGUUUUGGUUACAAAUUGUUGCUUAACUUGAAUACUUAAAAGUUUUCCUUGUAGAACCUAAUUCAGCCUAUGAGCUUGGUACAUGCAGUCCAGGUUUAAACAUUCCUAUCAGAAGCCAUACUUAUAUUUUUCUUGUUAAAGUGCUUUUGGAGUAAUAAAAUACUAGCUAGCCUAUUUGUGUCAUAGCCAGUUGAAUCCACUGUUCAUCACAGUUCUUGUAUAAAAGCAGUUGACUGCACAAAGCUGCUGUUUUAUGAGUUGGACUUGAUUAUUUUGAGAGUGGUUUCUUGGUGGGGUGGUUUGUUCUGCUAGGUAAUCAUAGUUGCCCACUCCUUAAAAAGAGAAGCCAGUUCAGGGUUCAUGAUACCACAACUUGCUCAGAUGAAUAAUUCCAGGAUAUAUUUCAUUGUAAACCAAAUGAAAAAUGGCCGUAGAGGCUUUCAGCAUGAAAACAAUUCUCACUUAAAUUUAGAUUGCUUCCGUUCUAUAAGUUGAGGUCUUGCAUGGGAAUUCCAAACUAAGCAUCAUGAUGUCAAAUUCACAUUAUAGCUCAAAUGUAACAGUGCAGAACUGAAACUGGAGGCAUGCUUAACCUUCCUAGAUAAUGGGAAGGAUUGUAAUUUCAAACUUUUGUGCACUUAGAUUAAAUCAUAAUGCAACAGUUUUGUGGCUUAGUUUCCUUAAAUGUCCUUUUUAAAGUAGUCUUGGGUGAUGAAUCAUAAUAAAUUCUGUUGUCAGUGUUGGUUCAGGCAUUAUAUUAGUGAGACAAUAAAAUUGAGUAAUUUUCAUUUGAAAUAUGUCCUGAACCAUUUAUAAAAAAGUUCAGGAUAUUAUCUGAGGCUUAUUUCAGAUAGCUUUGGUUGCAGGAUGUCCCUAGGAUAGGAUUUUGCCCCCCUCUGGGAAGGCCAAUAAGUAGCAAACAGUAGUGAAACAGUAAGAUGUUUGAUCAGACUUCAGUUGUUCACAAGAGGCCUCCUGACCCCAAAAAGUAGCUAAACUGGAAGCCGGAAGAAUUAUUUUACUAAAAUGAUAACUUUAAUUCUACACUGCUUAAACAUUUCAGUGCUCUGUUUCUUGACUGGGGUGGGGCUGGGAAGAGAGUCUCACCAAGGUUGCAUCACACGGUUCAAGGUAGGGGUUUCAUCUCUACAAUGUGCACCCAAGAAACCUAACCUCUCCUGGUUUUUCCUUCAGACUAUGAAAGCUUAUUUGUUCAUAGACAAAAGGCUCCAUGUGCUAACCCACCCCCACCUCCCUCUUCCAAAGUAAUGCUACUUUGAGGUGGGUGUAGUAAAUAUACUUUGAUAUGUGUGCAUAAGUUUCGUGACUUCUGUCUAAAAUGAAGUGCAUAGUUCCUGAAAAGCUAGAGGUGGUGUGAGGGGAAGAAACUUAUUUUAUAGGAGAUGAAGACAUGGCUUAGGUACACCAGCUUGCAUAGAUAGCAUCACAUGACUAAUACUGGACAGGAUCCAAAACGACUUUACACUGCAAUAGACUGACUUUGUGCUGCAGUCAACGUUAGUUGUAUUAGGUGAUGAGAUACGAAGUUUACAUAAUUCCCUGUUUUCAAGUAGCUUAUCAUUUUAAGCCGCUGUACUUAAUUUUCCCCAGCAUUAAAAUUUGGGGAAAUUUUUUUUUUUUUUGAAAAUUACAGUUGGAAUUGUGAGGUGUUUUUAAACUACCGUGAUGAAGUUCAGCUUGCAUUAAAGUGUCCACUAGGGGUCACUGUGUUGAUAAUUUUGAUUCCUUCUGACUGAGGGAAGUUUUUUAAUAUUUUUUUGUAAUUCAAAACCCAGUGGUAUUUAUGUGUCUUAGUUGAGUAUUUCUGUUGCCAGAUCUGUCAUUGCUUGGGUUCUGUGUUGAUGUGGUGGCCUUUAGUCCCAGCCAGGGCAAUGGGAGAGGCAAGGAAAGGAGUUACAAAUUGCCGUAGUUGGAUGUUCUCAAAUACCUUUUAUUUGUGUAAUACUUGGUACUUUCCAAGUGCUUUCAUCUUUUAGUUCCUCAGUAAUGUUCUUAGGUCAUACCUUUUAGUUCUGUUAGAGCUGGGGCUUAAGCCCAUGUCUUGUGCUUCCCUGGUUUCAGAUUUGCAUAAGAAUAUAAAUAUAUUUGAUUAAAGUUAUUAAUAAAUGGGAGAAAUGGCAA